ACUUUGGUUUUGGGGUGUUCCUAAUAAUUGUGCACACCUGAUUUCACAGCUUCACCACCUGUCCAUUGUGUGAACAUUUUCCUCCAUUUUCUUUUUCCUUUAUAAUUUCCAAAAGAAAACCCAAAGCUCUAAGGUAACAAAUGACAUGAAGAUUUGAUUUUAGUCUUGGCUUUUUUUUUUUUUUUUCCUUUAUGUGACGCUGGACUUUUUCUUUACCUGAGAUUUUGGGCUUUUUCUUUUCUUUUUUUUUUUUAACCGUGAUUUAAAACAAGGAGUUACUUUACUUCCUACUAAGAAGUUUAAGUUUCAUUCUAAAAUCAGAGGUAAAUAGAAUGCAUGGCAUGUUAUGUCAUUGUUUUCAGGUACUGGGUUCUUACUUGUGUAUCGUAAUAUAUUGUGUUUUAACACCAACACUGUAACAUUUACUAAUUAUUUUUUUAAAACUUCAGUUUUACUGCAUUUUCACAACAUAUCAGACUUCACCAAAUAUAU
rnacentral:lncRNA from 1 species